CACGUAGUUGGCCGGUGCUUCUUCUCCAGGUACCGUCACUUGCGCUUCGUCCCUGGCGAAAGAGGUUUACAACCCGAAGGCCGUCAUCCCUCACGCGGCGUCGCUGCAUCAGGCUUGCGCCCAUUGUGCAAUAUUCCCCACUGCUGCCUCCCGUAGGAGUCUGGGCCGUGUCUCAGUCCCAGUGUGGCCGAUCACCCUCUCAGGUCGGCUACCCGUCGUCGCCUUGGUAGGCCAUUACCCCACCAACAAGCUGAUAGGCCGCGGGCCCAUCCCAAACCGCAAAAGCUUUCCACCACCAACCAUGCGAUCAGUGGUCAUAUCCGGUAUUAGACCCAGUUUCCCAGGCUUAUCCCAGAGUUCAGGGCAGAUCACCCACGUGUUACUCACCCGUUCGCCACUCGAGUACCCCCGAAGGGGCCUUUCCGUUCGACUUGCAUGUGUUAAGCACGCCGCCAGCGUUCGUCCUGAGCCAGGAUCGAAACUACU
rnacentral:rRNA from 1 species